AAACAGCCGCAGCCAAUGGGAGGCGGCUCUCCAACGCCCCCCCCCCCAAUUAAAAGGUGAAUUGAUUGAUUGAUUGAUUGAGAGGACGGAUGGAACCUGAAGGGGGGUUAUUGUUAUUAUGGGGGGGGGGGGGGGGGGCAAGGUGACCCGGGGGGGGGGAUGGGGGGGCUCUAUGGGGUCGGGGGGGGGGUCUAUGGGAUGCUAUGGGGAUGCAUGGGGGGCUAUGGGGCUCUAUGGGGUCGGGGGGGGUCUAUGGGAUGCUAUGGGGAUGCAUGGGGGGCUAUGGGGCUCUAUGGGGUCGGGGGGGGCUCUAUGGAUGUUAUGGGGCUCUAUGGGGUCGGGGGGGGCUCUAUGGGAUGCUAUGGGGCUCUAUGGGGUCGGGGGGGGUCUAUGGGAUGCUAUGGGGCUCUAUGGGAUGCUAUGGGGCUCUAUGGGGUCGGGGGGGUCUAUGGGAUGCUAUGGGGCUCUAUGGGGUCGGGGGGUCUCUAUAGGAUGCUAUGGGGCUCUAUGGGGUCGGGGGUUCUCUACAGGAUGCCAAGUGGGGUUGGGACCCUUGGAUGGGGCUUUGGGACCCCUAAGUGGGGCUUUGGGACCCCUAAGUGGGGCUCUUUUAUAACAAAAUGGGGCUCAAUGCGGCUCUGGGACCCCCAAGUGGGGCUGUGGGACCCCUAAGCGGGGUUGGGACCCCUAAAUGGGGCUGUGGGAGCCCUAAGCCGGGUUUGGGACCCCCAAGGGGGGCUGUGGGACCCCUAAGCGGGGUUGGGACCCCUAAAUGGGGCUGUGGGAGCCCUAAGCCGGGUUUGGGACCCCCAAGGGGGGCUGUGGGACCCCUAAGCGGGGUUGGGACCCCUAAAUGGGGCUGGGGGAGCCCUACGCGGGGUUGGGACCCCCAAGUGGUGCUGUGGGACCUCUAAAUGGGGCUCUGGGAUCCCCAACUGGGGCUGUGGGACCCCUAAGCCGGGUUUGGGACACCCAAUUGGGGCUUUGGGACCCCUAAGCGGGAUUGGGACCCCUACAUGGGGCUGUGGGACCUUGAAAUGGGGCUCUGGGACCCCCAAGUGGGGCUGUGGGACACCUAAGCCGGGUUUGGGACCCCCAAGUGGGGCUGUGAGACCCCUAAGCGGGGUUGAGACCCCCAAAUGGGGCUGUGGGACUCCUAAGUGGGGUUGGGACCCCCAAGUGGUGCUGUGGGAGCCCUAAGCGGGGUUUGGGACCCCCAAGUGGGGCUGUGGGACCUCUAAAUGGGGCUCUGGGACCCCCAAGUG
rnacentral:lncRNA from 7 species